GACGAACGCUGGCGGCGUGCUUAACACAUGCAAGUCGAACGGAAAGGCCCUGCUUUUGUGGGGUGCUCGAGUGGCGAACGGGUGAGUAACACGUGAGUAACCUGCCCUUGACUUUGGGAUAACUUCAGGAAACUGGGGCUAAUACCGGAUAGGAGCUCCUGCUGCAUGGUGGGGGUUGGAAAGUUUCGGCGGUAGGGGAUGGACUCGCGGCUUAUCAGCUUGUUGGUGGGGUAGUGGCUUACCAAGGCUUUGACGGGUAGCCGGCCUGAGAGGGUGACCGGCCACAUUGGGACUGAGAUACGGCCCAGACUCCUACGGGAGGCAGCAGUGGGGAAUAUUGCACAAUGGGCGGAAGCCUGAUGCAGCAACGCCGCGUGCGGGAUGACGGCCUUCGGGUUGUAAACCGCUUUCGCCUGUGACGAAGCGUGAGGGACGGUAAUGGGUAAAGAAGCACCGGCUAACUACGU
rnacentral:rRNA from 1 species